CGUGCUGGAGCAUUUCCUGAGCAUCAACCCACUGAGUGAACAUCAAUAUGAAAGAGGCUUCACGAGACUAAUGAUGAGCAUAGACAACAGAGAGAGAAUUAAAUUCAGCGCUUUUAUUUCCAACAUGCGCUCAUUCAUGGCUACAUAUUAUUUAAUUCAGGCAAAAGUCUUUAUUGGGACAGACUGACGGAUUAUCUUACGUGACUCCGUGAGUUCGUCUCUAUUUCUUAGAACCAAGCUGUGUAAACUGCAUAUCAGGCAUUUCUUUGAUGGCUGUUAUGUUACAUAAAGUUUACUAACUACAACAAAUCAAGUAGGCUACCUGUGCACACUGUUGUUGUUGUCUCGUCUCCCCUCAGACGCGCUGCAAUGAUGAUCCUGUGCGCAAUUCUCAAAACACCCACAAGAUGGCGGCGUUUAUCGGUGAAUCCGAUAUUACAAAACCGAUAUCUGAUUAUGCUAAAAUGCUUAAAUAGCGAGAAAAAUAUCGGAAGAAGAUUUGGUGUUGAUAGAGGAGGCAACAUCUUCAAGGCAAAACCUUAGACCUCAUUCAACAUCAUCCAAUGUUGCAAUCACCCUCAGGAGGUACACAAGCAAAAGCGAACAUUGUCAAUUAUCGAUUCCUAUUUUACAAAAUUUGCCCUGCAUACAUUUUUGUCUUUAAUGUGUAGGCACUUGAAGCUCAGUGCCCGAUAUGCACAUCAACAUUUCCAGUGUCAGAAAUAGAACUGCCAUGCUAGCCUUUGUGGAGAAAGGCUCUCCAAGGAAGGUGAUUUUCAAGGGACUGACAGGGCUUCCUGUUUUUGACGUUUCCACAACUUCAGACGUGUUAUCUCGUGACAGAUUUGGCG